CAGCGCCACAAGUGGGGACCGUUGUUAUUGGGCCUAAAGCGUCCGUAGCCGGCUUAGAAAAUUUUCUGUGAAAUUGUCAGGCUCAACCUGACAGCGUGCAGGGAACACUACUAAACUUGAGACCGGGAGGAGUCAGAGGUAUUCCAGGGGUAGCGGUAAAAUGCAAUAAUCCUUGGAGGACCACCUGUGGCGAAGGCGUCUGACCAGAACGGGUCUGACGGUGAGGGACGAAAGCUAGGGGAGCAAACCGGAUUAGAUACCCGAGUAGUCC
rnacentral:rRNA from 1 species